GACGAACCGUGCGAACGUUGUUCGGAAUCACUGGGCUUAAAGGGUGCGUAGGCGGGUUGUCCAGUCUGGGGUGAAAUCCCACGGCUCAACCGUGGAAUUGCCUCAGAUACUGACGACCUCGAGGGAGGUAGGGGCGAGCGGAACUGUGGGUGGAGCGGUGAAAUGCGUUGAUAUCCACAGGAACUCCGGUAGCGAAGGUGGCUCGCGGGACCUCUUAUGACGUUGAGGCACGAAAGCUAGGGGAGCAAACGGG
rnacentral:rRNA from 1 species